rnacentral:tRNA from 1 species
ACCCUCGUGGCCCAAUCGGGAGAGGCACGGCGCCGAGAUCGCCGACGGUGCGGGUUCGAAUCCCGCCGAGGGUA